CUAGAUUGCAUCCUCGUGUGAAACCUAAGAAGGCAAAACGGACCUCUCCUGUCGCAGUUAGUGGCCUGCCCGACCCAGCUCCAAGCCUUGAGCGCCAGGCCACCAGGCCCCUCUGCGCUUUUCCAGAAAGGCCUGAAGCCGGUCUUGCAGAUGGGUUGGAGUAGACGUUGGAUGGCAGAACCC